UCCCUCCCUGCCUCCUUCCACACCGUCUCUGUAGCUCUUCCUCUCCCAUGCUGCCUUCCUCUCCAUGCUGCCUUCCUCUCCCCACCGUCCUGCUGCCUUCCUCUCCACACCGUCUGCGCCUUCCUCCAUGCUGUCCUUCUCCCAUGCUGCCUUCUCUUCCACACCGUCCUGCUGCCUUUCUCUCCACACCGUCAUGCUGCCUUCCUCUCCACACCGUCCUGCUGCCUUCCUCUCCACACCGUCAUGCUGCCUUCCUCUCCACACGUCCUGCUGCCUUCCUCUCCACCAACCGUCCUUUGCCUUCCUCUCCAUGCUGCCUUCCUCUCACACCGUCAUCUGCUUCCUCUCCACACCGUCAUGCUGCCUUCCUCUCCACACCGUCAUGCUGCCUCUCUCCACACCGUCCUGCUGCCUUCCUCUUCCACACCGUCCUGCUGCUGUGCUCACUGCCAACAAAUCUCCUUUUAUUUAUUUAUUUAAUCCAUUUUAGAAUAGCUGUAACUUCACAAAUGUGGAAAAAGUCAAGGGGUCUGAUACAUUGUUAUCUACUUCCCACCAUAG
rnacentral:lncRNA from 1 species